rnacentral:tRNA from 1 species
AUUUUUCUAAUAUAUUAAGUAUAUUUGACUUCCAAUCAAAAAGUUUGAACAAACAAGAUAAAUA